AGCACCUUUAAGCAACAGAGGAACGGCUAUUAUUAAAUGCACUUCUCAGCACAACUUCACUUUAAUAGUAAAAAAACACCUUCCCACCCUCCCAUCGCCAUAAACCUCAGGGUUUUUUUUUUCAACCACAAAACCUUCACUACUGAAUUAUCAAGAAAAGUGCCUUUAAGAAUUUUCUAGACCUAGAGUUAUCUCAUGGCAAGAUCUACCCAGUAAUCCAUGGAAACUGUCAAAAAUCUUAAAACCCUUGUUUGAAAUUAGUCAUGGGGAAAAGCCCUGUUAUAACUUGACCCUGAAGCACAGCCCAGGAGUCACCAAGGUUCCAGGGUGUUCAACUUGAGAAGGUCAUGACUCUAAGGUGCAAAUCAGCAGGGAAGACCGGGCCCUUUAGGAAAGAUUUUCAAUAAGUUAGAGAAAAGGACAAACCCCACACGUGCAGAAGAAUUACAACUACACACAAUGAAAAAGUCAAACUUCAUUUUUAUCCAAAAGUUUCUGUGCACUGACGCAUCCACAGAGAUGAUGGCCUGCCACACCGUCGGACGUAUUUGGUGAGAAUGCUUUAUUAUUAAGGUCAGCUUUUUUCCCAGUACUCAACAGGUCCCAGUCUCUGCCCAGUCCCCCACAUCGAAUACGGAUACGGGGCAUGCCCAGCGCCGCCGUGCUUGCUCCAAUCAAGUAACACUGGCAACAGGACUGCCUCUUCCCCUACCUAAAACAAAGAUGACCAAGAAAAGACCGAGGCCCGCUCUUUAUUACGGGAGAAAUGAGAAUGUAAGGAAAGAUAACCUCCAAGCCACUGGUCUCACGCAAGUGCGGCCCCACGUCCCCCACCUUCAAACAAGGGUUUCCAGAUGUUUGCCGGUUUCCGUGGAUUACAGGGAAACUGCGCGACCCUGCAAGGAAUGAUUCACCGGUGAUUCAACCGCUCCGCGGACCGCGAAGCUGCACGUCGGCUGCCAGAUGCUCCAGGAGCAAUGACACCUGGCCUUCCCGCCUCACGAGGCCCUUAGAGUGGGCCGCAUUGCACAAAUGUGGGACAAAUGCAGGUGUCUGCCAUGGGUUAAGAGCGGCCCACGGCUCAUAGGUCCGAAGGUCAGUGGCAAGACCGCGACUCUCGGCCGAAGUGCAACCCACUCCAACUCGAUAUAGUGACCCAAAUCCGGCAGUUUGCCUCUGGGAGAUUCCAGGAUUACAUCUGCAGCGCUCUGGUUCCGAGUGGACUGCUGUCACAUCCAAAAAGACAUCUGUGGCAUAAACCAAAAAUGAAAUUAAAAGAUAUAAUCAGACUUGUGUGCCACUCGAUUUAAGCUUUGGGUUUUUAAAAUAAUUUUCUGGUUUCCCCUUUUGGGCUUUGCUGUAAAAUUGUCAGGCAUGAGAAUGUCGUAAACUACUAUUCAGUGGCUUCGUGUUGGUCCUGUCAAAGUUCCUCCCAAAAUUUGCUGAUCAUCUCUGUUGUUGCCUCCAGGAGUCCCUGGGUGGCGCUUUACUACUAGUUCAAAGAUUAGCAAUUCGAACCCACCCACCCAGAAGCACCUCGGAAGACAGGACAAUCUACUUUCGAAAGCUCCCUCCACCCCCCUCCCCGCGCCAAACCCACUGCCUGGAUUGCGUUCUGACUCAUAGUGACCCCGUGUGGGGUUUCCAAGGCUGUAAAUCUCUGCGGAAGCAGACUGCCACAUCUUUCUACCCAGAGCUGAUGGUGGUUUCCAACCGCCGGACCUUCUGGUUAGCGGUUAAUUACGGAGGUUUUUUAUGGAGCGGCUCUACUCCGCACACAAGCUUGGGUCGCCCGCCCGGAGUCGGAAUCGGCGGGCAACGGACAACAGUUGUCUCCCAGUCAGAGCUGGAGAGUUCUUAUGGAAAGGGUGUGCCUCUCUCCCUAUCGCCUAGACUUCUAGUGCAUUUUAGUGCGCACGGUACAUAACUCCAUACAGUUUGCUGAACCAUAGCAUUGCAGACAUUUUUUUAAGAAAGAAACAAAAACAAACAACCCUGCAGAAUCUUUAUUUUCCGCUUGCCUGAACUGAAAUAGCAUAUCCAGGCUUCACCCUCGUGGUCCUUGCUUCCUAGGAGCUGAAAGCUCCACUGGUUUCCUUUUUGAACUCUCUGCAGCUCUAAAACCCACAAAGUUUAUAUUUUGCAAAACUAAGUCAUGUAAUCCUUUUUUUUUGCAGUCUCAGGCUUGCGUUGUUUUCCCUUAACAGAUCUUCAGCCCUAGGUAGGGUAUGAUUCCUUGCUCUCUGGGACCGAAGGUUGUUGCUAAAGAGAAAUUGUUACACUUUAGUCAAGUGGUUCACAGGACAAACUGUUGCAUCUAUAAAGCCAGCCAAGCCAAUUGCCGAGGAGCGCUUCCAACUCAUGGUGACGCCGUAUGUGUGUGAGUAGAACUGUGCUCCAUCGCGUUUUCAAUGGUUGAUCGGAAGUAGAUCACCAGGUCCUUGUUCUGAGGACCUCUGGGUGGACUUGAACCUUCAACCUUUUGGUUAGUGGCUGAGUGCCUUAAUCAUUUGCACCACCCAGGAACUCCAUAGGAUAAUUGAAUUCCAUUGAAGCCACUAGACUAUCCUGAAAUUAUAUAGGGCUUUAAGCAAUAUGCAGGUCAGCAUUUUGAUAAGAAAAAUACGUUUACCGUUAGAUUGUGACACAAAAGUUGCCAAAAACGUUGAUAAAUCAGGCGAAUAUUUGCAUAGUCACUAAAAUUGUCAGACAAAAAGAAAAAUUUGUUGGGUGUUUGCCUAGGUUUUUCAGUAAAUAUGGAGUGAUAUUUUUCAAGACUUAAAGAAUGCUAAAAUCUUUAUUAUUUUCCAGAAGGAAUAAAACUGGCUAUGGCAAACACCAUCUCACAGCAUAGUUUUUUCUCAGUUGAUUAGACCCUGGCCAGAUGGUUUCUAGGUCAAUUGCUAUUUGGCACUGUGAAAAACACAUCCCUCAAAUUUUAGCGUUGAUAUUUGUUGCACAGGAACAAAUUGAUUGUUAAAGUUGUUCGCUAACCUUAUACAAUUUAUUUUCCCUGUUCAGCAAAGUCAAACUUUGGCAGUUACCAAAUUCCCUCCUAUCUGAUAUACCUUAGAGGUUCUAAGUGGCAAAGUUCCUAAGGUUAUAAUAAUCAUACUGGCCUGACCAGCUCCUCUCUGAUUGUUGUUGUGUGGCGUUGAGUCAAUUUUCCACUCACAGUGAUCCCGUGGAGCAGAGUAGAACUGCCCCAUACUGUUUUCUAGGCUGUAAUCUUUACAGAAGCAGAUCGCUAAGUCUUCCUCCUGAGGAGCCACUGGGUAGGUGUGAGCUGCCAACCUUUUGGCUAGCAGUCAAGCCUUUAAUUGUUUCAUCACCAGGCCUUCUUCCUUUCUGAUUGGCUCUUGGAAUGUCAGAGAACUGGAGGGACCUCACAGGCACCCAUUUACAGAUGAGGCUCCUGUGCAAGCCAGUUAGCAUGAUUAAAACAACUUGCCUAACUCUGCUGCUAACCAAAAGGUUGGAGGUUUGAGUCCACCCAGAGGCAUCUCAGAAGAAAGGCCUGGAGAUCUACUGCUGAAAAAUCAGCCACUGAAAACCCUACUCUGACGCACAUGAUGUCACCGUGAGUCGGAAUCAACUUGAGGGCAACUGGUAAACUCAGAUGAGGUCUCUUUUUAUCCACUGAGCAGGCUUUCUUCUACUUCCAAAGCAUGAACGUGAAAUUGAGUCAGAAGCCCAGGCUUAAAUGAUUAAUUUAUUCAUCCACAGGCACUCAACAACGUUCUGCAGUUAGUGUGGGAAAUACUUGAAAUUUGUGAAACUUGGUGUUCUUAGGCAGAAAUAUCCCGAUGGUUUUUCUUUGAAACACGCAUGGAGGCGUGUAGAGGGGUUGAGUUCCCUUUGCAUAACCGGUGAUGAAAUGCGGUGGAUAUGGAGUCUGAAGAUGACUGGGGCAGUAUUUCAGCACUUCCUGUGUGCUUACAAUGCUGCAAUUGUGAAUUUUUUUUAUCUUCUCCACUAAGGCUCCUUGCAGAAUGUUGUCACUAGCUGCCGUUGAGUUGAUUCUGACCCACAGUGACCUCAUGUCCCAGAGUAGGACUGCCUCGUAGGGUUUUCUAGGCUGUAAUCUUUAUAGGAGCAGAUCACCUCAUCUUUCUCCCAAGGAGCCACUUGGCAGGUUUGAACAGCCUACCUUUCGGUAAGCAGCCGAGCACUUAACCAUUGUGCUGAUAGGAACUGAGUUUUUUCUUUGCAUCUCUCAACUCUUUGCACAAUGACUGGCACAUAGUUGGCUCUUUACAUGUUUUGAAUCAAUGAAUACUUUAUGGAUCCAUGGAUCCAUGCAUAGAGCCAAAUAUUUUUACUGGCAUUUGAAAGAUGAGAUCUGUCAUUGCUGUUGUACUGUCUAGGGGCCAGGCAAUGAGUGUUCCAUAAUGCUCAGAUUGGUAGGAAAAUCUAAGUCCAUUACGGACUGAAAGGCACCACUUGACAGCAAGCUUCAGCUGUCUACCCAGUGAUUAAACAAUCUUUGCGGCAGCCAGAAAAUCUAAUUAGGAGGAGAGGUAGCUGAACAGCAAAAAGCAAAUAUAGAAGCCUGGGAACUGGUUAGCAUUUUUCUAGAAGCCUGAGUCCUGGGAUGAUUCAGAAUAUAUUCAGUCAUAUGAGGAGGCUGGUGAUAGCUUCCCGUGCCUAGAAAGGCUUAAUGACUUUUUGGAAUAAAUUGUGCAAAAUAUAUAUCUCCCCCGCAAAGUAAUAAAUUAAGCUUUAUGAUAAACCCACUGCUGUAGAGUCAAUUCCUACUCAUAGCGACCCUCUAGGACAGAGCAGAACUGCCCCAAGGAGCAGCUGGUAGAUUCAAACUGCCAGUCUUUUGGUUAGCAGUCAAAAGCUUAACCACUGCGCCACCAGGGCUUCCAAAAAUAUGGGGUGUUUCACAAAUUUGCAUGUCAUCCUUGUGCAGGGGCCAUGCUAAUCUUCUCUGUAUCAUUCCAAUUUUAGUAUCUGUGCUGUAUGAUAACAGGUGAAAUUGAUAGUAAUUAAUCUAUGUGAAAUGAUAAAAAGGAGCAAUGAAACCAUUUUAUCCAAAAUUCAGGUAAAAUACAUAUAUGUAUGAAAAAAGGCCAGGGGAGAAUUAGAAGUUAGUGGGAACACAGAGUUCUGGAAAAAAAAAAAAAAUGACUCAGCAGGUCCUAAGAAACAUCUGGUAGGGUACAUUUAGUCAUGGAAAAAUUGACAGUCAUGAUUAAGCAUUUUGUGAAAAUAAUUAUAUACUAGUCCAGCAGUUUACAUUUAGACCAAAAUUAAAAACCUAAAAGGCCAUACGAUGAAAUCUGUUAACCUGGUCAUUCAAAAUAUUUCUAUUAAUGGUCUAAAAUAGUUUACAUGAAGCUUCACCAAAUAAGUUAUCACAUAGCACCAAUAUUCUGAAAAAUAUACUUUUAGAGAAAAAGCUUUCUAUUCAAACCUUAGAGAUUAAUGUUUUUUAGCACAUAGCUGACUAUCGUUGUAAACCUGACGCUUAUCAAACUACCUGUCUACUUUCAUUUUGAUGAAACAUAUAUAAUUUUUGUUCUGUACAUACAAUGGUGACAAAAUAUGACCAAUCACAAAGGUAAAUUGUGGAUAUAAUUUCUAGUAACAAAGAGCCAUUUAAAAUGAAAAUUGUUCACCUAUAUUCAUUCUUAUUAAUAUAACACUUACCAAAACCAA